UCACCACGGCCGUCCUGUCCAUGACUGUCCACUGCUCCUCCACCGAUCAACCGCCGCCCGGAGAGUCCCGUCCUGCCUUCUGUCAACAGUCGCGUUCGCACUGCUGCUAACACGCAGCCAAAGAUCCUUUAUGCUUUCGCCUCUGCUCGCUACAGGAGGUGAGGUUUGGCUGAAGGUUUAUCUUAGGAGAAUGUUGAUACACGUCCUCCUAAUUUGACUGAUCACCAGAUGCAACGAGGAGAACAAAGAACACAUUCAAUCUGACUGGUGAAGGCCUCUGCACAGUCGACAGGUCAAUCA